rnacentral:rRNA from 1 species
GACGUAGGCUGCAAGCGUUAUCCGGAAUUAUUGGGCGUAAAGCGUUCGUAGGUGGUUUGUUAAGUUGGAUGUUAAAGCUUUGAGCUUAACUCAAAAUUGGUGUCCAAAACUGGCAGGCUAGAGACAGGUAGAGGUAAGUAGAAUUCUGUAUGUAGGGGUAAUAUCCGUAGAUAUACAGAGGAAUACCAAAAGCGAAGGCAGCUUACUGGACCUGUUCUGACACUCAAGAACGAAAGCGUGGGGAGCAAACGGG